GUCCCUAAGUCCACGAACGCUGCAUAUUCCAGCUCAUCUCCGCCAUUUUUGGCAUAGUUUAAACGUGUCUUCACCCUUCCAGACCUUGCUCGCCCAUUUUGGGCAAAGUUUUCAAUGCUUUUGUGUUCUUCUCACGAUUCAAACGUAAAGUGUUCAAAUCGUGAGUGAAAGGAAGCAUUCUCACUCUCAUCGCCUCAGUCGCUGCUCCACAACAGGUAAAAUUCCUCUCUCUAUUUUAGUUCUUAUCGUUCAGAUUAAUUUCCAUGUAGUUCAGAGUAUGCUUUCAUUUUUUUGGUGCAUUUCCUUAUCUGGUUGUGGGUCCAUAUGUUUGUAGUCAUUUUAAUUUUUAAUUUUAGUCUAAUGUAUCCCUGUUACUAAGUUCAUUUCCCUUUUUGAGUUUGAAACAGUGUGAAUCCUUUAUAGUUUUUUCCUCAGUGUUCUUUAUAUAUUUAAGAUGAGUUUAGUUCAAAGAUGCUAAGGCUGAUAGAUCAUGUGACGAUUCAGUUCAGACCCAGAAUGUUUACUUUCCUGUUCAAGAAAUCAGAAUUUGGAUUUUUCUUCAUAUGACAUAGUUAUAAGUAUGCGGCAUCUUUUCUUUUGUGUGUUUAGACAUUUCUCAGUCGAAUAUGUUGAGAAGCUUGAACACUAUUUAGUUUAGUGAUCUUCUUUUGAUGUUUGUUUUGAUAUUUUCUGUUUUUGUCGUUUACAUUUGAUGAUUAGUCUUGAUUAGUUUUGUGUGUGAACUAAGUGUUUAUGUGUUUUUUUUUUAAGAAAAACUUUUUUUUUAAUUAUUACAUAGGGGUAAGGGAAGGGGAUUACAACGUGGGGAUUCAAACCCUCACCAACAAGGUGAAAGUUCAGGUAGCCAACCAACUAAGCUACUAGAUCCCCACAAGUGUUUAUGUUCAGCAGUCUUAUUUCCCUUUUUUUGUUCCCAAAGUUGUUAUGAGUUUUUUAGACUUAGAUUAGCUUCAUGUUUAUUGCUGUUUUUUGGGAUGUAGCCUCUACAUUUAAGUAAUGCUCUUGUCCUUGUUGAUUUCCUUCAUGUUUGGAUUAAGUUGAAAUUAGUAGCUAGGCUUGAGUUCCUCCUUAUAUACUUACAAGUUUGUUUCCCUGUUCUAGAGUUGUUUGGGUCAAUUAGGAUCCUUAAAUGUUUAGAUGUUGUUAUAGCUUACUAACAAGAAAAGAGCAAACAUUAUAAGUUUGAAGAAAGAACUGAGGCAGUGGAAUAUGCUCCCACUGCUGUCCCAUUUUCUUUUUGCUGAUCUCGUGUCAUUUUCGAACCUGUUUUCCUCUUUCCCAACACUGUUUCGUUUCUUUCCUUCAACUGGAUUUUCUCUUUAAAAUUAUUGUUUUUUGGUAAUUUUAAGCGUAUAAAUAUGUUGGUUCUGUUUGGCCUGGGAAAAUAUCUGAGCUAGAAUUUAUGUCAAUUUUGAGUUAGCAUCCUUGUCUUCUGCAAUUUUUGUUUUGAUUAAUAUCUCGAGCAUUAUUAAUUUCUAUUUUUGGCAACUAUUAGCAUAGGGAAAUAAAGAUCUACUGUUUUCUUUCAAAAUAUGCUUUGAACACUGAUUUUGUCCAUCUGAGAAUGAUAUUCUCAUUAUCGUUGAUGGUAAUUAGUUUGGUUAAUUUAAGUUUGCAUAUAAAAAGAUAACUAAUCGACUUGGUUUAAAAAUUUGCUGUUUAAGUGUAAACAGUGAGUAUAGUUACUUUAAAUCUUAGUUUUAAAAAUCCUUUUCUUAGUUUUCCUAACAAUGGUUUAUACAAAUUAACUUCCAUGUUAAUUAUCCAUGUUGAAUAUCCCGAGAGUACUAGCAGUUUGAUAGUUUAGGUCCUAGGUUCUUUGGAGUUUUGUGUUUAGCAUGUAUCCUGUUCCAGACACCUUAACCUUGUUCUUGACUAAGUCACAGGCCAUUGAUAAUUUGGGAUGUUAUUUAGGAUCUAGUAUAUUUGUUUUGUUAGCAGGAAAGCAUGUUGAACUAAAUAUGCAGCCUUCAUCUGUUUAUGGUUGAGCCUUUAACUAAGAGCCCGUUUGGAUUGGCUUAUAAGCUGUUUUCAGCUUUUUUGAGUGUUUGGCUGGCCAGCUUAAAGUCAUUUUGUGCUUAAAAUAAGCUCAAAAAAAUAAUUGGGCCCAUUUGACUUAGCUUAUCUAAAGAAAUUUAUAAGCUGAAAACAACUUAUAAGCCAAAAAAAAUAAGUUAGACUACCCCAACUUAUUUUUUUUAGCUUAUAGGCAUAAGCCCAUCCAAACAGGCUCUAAGUGUCUAAGUUACGUCUAAUUAUCUUCUGAUGUGAUAAUAAGCUUAAACUUCCUGGAAGUUUCUUAGAGAAUUUAUGAUUCAUUUUGUCUAGCUCACGUUGGGUUAAGUUUUAAUCAUUUGAUCAUGUAUUCAAGGUGAAUCUUUUGGUGCUAAGUUUCGUAGGAGAUUAGCCAAAAAUGUCGUGAAAUCUAUCGUUGUCUUACGUGAUUGGAUAUACUAGCAGUUUCAUGUCUCUAAUCCUUUUCUUAUUUUUUCUAUGCAUGAACUCUCUACGAGUCCUACAUACUUUUCGCACCUUAGUCUGUAUUGGGCCAGGCACAGCAUAAUAUUACCUCGAGUCAGCCCAUUCGCAUAACCGACAGUCACAAGCAGCAGAUUAUCGGCAGCUGUAGAACGGUGGAUCAUAAAAUGGGCUAAGCCUAAUAAACUCUUUCUCUAUUUUACUUUAUUUUUCGAUGGUGUAUUUUGGUUGAAUUAUAUGACUAACAGUUUUACUUAUUUUCUUUUCUUAAACCAGAUGAUUAUCCCAGCGGAAUGUGAAAAUUGCAGUCGCCAAACAAUUGAUUAGUUUGAUCACAAUUUUAUCUCGUUACGAGUGUCUUUAACUCUCAAAUUUAAAAAUAAAAAGGGAUAUAGUGCCAAAUGUUUGGUCUGUUUCAA